GGCCCUGCAGCAAUGGGGGGCAGGUUGGCCAAGCAGCACUCACCGCAACUCCCACGUCGGCGACGGCAUCCCUGCUGCUCCGUCCUUCCCGCAAGCAUCUGCCAAAGCAAGAGCUGUGAACGGCGGGACCCCCGCCCAGCCCCACACUGGGGGGCCGACCCCUUGCAGGCUGCUCAGCGCUGGCACUGGGGCUGCUCACCUCUCCCCUUCUUCCUCCUGGCGCUCGGCGCUCUCCUCUUCUUCCCCAACCUCCGGCAGAUCUUCUGUGGGAGCAGUGAGUGGGUGGGUGAGGGGCAGCCCCUGUGCCCCCGCACCCCGGGCCCCUCAUCCAUCACCUACCCGCAGCCGCCGGAACCGCAGCACGACUGAAAACAGGCUGUGCUGCAGCAGCAGCAUCAUCUGCAUGACCAUCCCAAGUGGUCCUGUGUAGCUGGGGCUCUCCAUGACCACAGCGAUGCUCCUCCACUGGUGCUCCGGUGAUGCUCCGUCGCUUCCUCAGGAGGAAUGAGGCCCCUGUGCCCGUGUGAGCUGACCCCUCCUGCAGGGCCCGUUUGUGACAUACGUGGACCUGUCAUUGUUACGUCAUAAUGCAGUGUUCCAUUCCCUCUCUCCGGCCUGCAGCACCGGAUGGAACUUUGGGUUAUCCGGAGCCCCUCCGUGCCGAGCACCGGGGCUGGGACAAACCCACCGCGCAGCCCCUCCCUGGCCGGUGGCCCUGGAGCUCCCGGGCUGGCUGCUGGAACUGCCCUGCCCUGGGGCUUUGCUCCUGCACGGAGAGCUGAGGGCCAUGGCCCCGCUGCAGCAGCUCGAGAGGGCGGAAAAUGAAAGCAAACCAAAAGCAAACAGACACUGCUGGUUCUGCCCCUUUCCUGUUGGCGGCUUCUGUUGCAGGGCCUGCAGGGCGCCUGCUGGGCAGGGACACGCGUGGGCAGCAAAACACAGCAGUGGGACAGGGACAGCACUGCACGGAGCUUUGGCGUCGCCCAUCCCCGUGGGACCCGAGGAUGCUCCCAUUGCUGCGCCGGGCCUGGCUGUGCCUCGGAGCUCUGCUGGUUGCCCCCCAUGAGGGGACCCCGCAGCUGCUGAUGGACAUGAGCCGCGACGCCUUCGACGAUCAGUACGAGGGCUGCGCGGCGGCGAUGGAGGCAGCGGGGCCGGCGCUGCUGGAGCGGGAGCGGGCGCGGGGCGAGUCCCGUCUGUUCCGCAGGGUGUGGGGCCGGGCUGGGGAGCGCUGGCAGCGGGUGAAGGGCGCGCUGGCCCCCCGCCUGCCCCUUGGCUUCAAGCUGCCAAGCAAUUGCCUUGGGCAUCCCUUUGUUUUCUUCUGUUCUUCCUUCCUAUCUCUCUCAUCAAACUGUCCCUCUCAGCUGACAAGUUCUCACACUUUUAUCUGUGUCAGUGCUCUGCCCAUCUCCUGGUGUGGCAGUGAGCAAACGGCCAAGUGCUGCAGAGCUGCUGCAGGGUUAAACCACAGCUGUGCUACUGAUCAUCAUAGGAUGGCCUGGGUUGCAAAGGACUACAAUGCUCAUUGA
rnacentral:lncRNA from 7 species